UGCCAGCAGCCGCGGUAAUACGAAGGGUGCUAGCGUUGUUCGGAAUUACUGGGCGUAAAGAGCAUGUAGGCGGAUGAAUUAGUCAGAGGUGAAAGCCCCGAGCUCAACUUGGGAACUGCCUUUGAUACUGUUUAUCUAGAGUCCGAGAGAGGUUAGUGGAAUUCCCAGUGUAGAGGUGAAAUUCGUAGAUAUUGGGAAGAACACCAGUGGCGAAGGCGGCUAACUGGCUCGGUACUGACGCUGAAAGGAAAAGGGGGGGGAGAAAAAAGGAUUAACUC
rnacentral:rRNA from 1 species